UACAGAGGUCCCGAGCGUUGUUCGGAUUUAUUGGGCGUAAAGGGUGCGUAGGCGGCGGAGUAAGUUGGGUGUGAAAUCCCGGGGCUUAACCUCGGAAUGGCAUUCAAUACUGCUUCGCUUGAGUACUGGAGAGGAGGCUGGAAUUUACGGUGUAGCGGUGAAAUGCGUAGAUAUCGUAAGGAAGACCAGUGGCGAAGGCGGGUCUCUGGACAGUUCCUGACGCUGAGGCACGAAGGCCCAGGGGGAGCAAAACGGGG
rnacentral:rRNA from 1 species